rnacentral:rRNA from 1 species
UACGGAGGAUCCAAGCGUUAUCCGGAUUUAUUGGGUUUAAAGGGUGCGUAGGUGGCCUGUUAAGUCAGGGGUGAAAGACGGUAGCUUAACUAUCGCAGUGCCUUUGAUACUGACGGGCUUGAAUACACUAGAGGUAGGCGGAAUGUGACAAGUAGCGGUGAAAUGCAUAGAUAUGUCACAGAACACCAAUUGCGAAGGCAGCUUACUAUGGUGUCAUUGACACUGAGGCACGAAAGCGUGGGGAGCAAACAGG